AUGGCUGCCUGGGCCCUUCCCAAACGGAGCCUCCCCUUCCGCCCCUGUUCCGCACGCCACCCACCUCACACCCGCCCACCCUGUAGUCUGAUAACGGGAUACCUGUUCCCGCUCCCUGCAGGGUGCGCCCUUUUGGCUUCUCCCCAACCCUCCACGUGGCCAAUGGCCGGUCCCGGGCAUCCUCCGGGGCUCGCCCUGGGAACCUCGUGCCCCCAUUCUGCACUCAGACCCACACCUCGAGCCGCGCAGGACACACUCCGCCCUGGACUUGCUGGCCAGACCCAGGCGUCAGAGAAAGCGCGGCCCCAUCGUUCUGUCGCCCAGGCCCAGGGCGCCCGCACGGCCGGCGGGGCGGAGAGCGAGGGAUGCCCAGGCUUCCGGCGGGCCUCGCCGCCGCCGCCGCGCCACUCCACGUCCCCGGUGACCGCGGCGCACCGGGGAGCAGGGGAGAUGCGCACCCUUCGCGGGUGUCCGUGCUCCGGCUGGCAACCUGGGGUGCUCCCGCCACGCAGCAGGGACCCCCAGCUCCCCCCGGGAGGGGCCGCGAGCUCCGCCCCUCCCGCAUCGCCGGGUCACGUGGCCCGCAGCUCCCCCGCGGGCCGGUCACGUGACGGCGGCGCGCCGUUGCCGUGGCAGCGGCUGCGGCUGGCCGGCGGGGGCGGGGCAGCCGGUGGGGGCGGGGCCGGGGGGACCCCGCUGGCCGGGCGGAAAGAGGGAGGGGGCCGCGCUCGGCGCCCCGGCCGGGCCGCACGGCCACGCCAGCGCCGCCUGCCGCGAGCCGGAGCCCGAGCCGGAGCCGGGCGGGGCGGGCAGGGCAGCUCGGUGAGUGCUCGCCGCGGGGCGUCUGGCGCGGGGAGCGGGAUGGCACUGGGAGGCUCUGCGGGGGAGGGGACCGGCUUUCUCCCGGGCAGGCUUGAGGUGGGACGGCUGCGGGGUCGGGGGACGGCCAGGGGAUCCCAUCCCCGCGGGAUCCCCGGGCGGGGUGCGGCGCCCAGAAGUCUCCGAGGUCGGAGCGCGGGUCCAGUCCGGGUCCUGCGGCCGCUGGGGCUUCCCAGGGGAAGGGACAGAGAUGCAGUGGACGCCGCUGGGAGACCCUUGUCGGGGCUACUGGGCCCCCGCCUCGCGCCGGCGCGACGAAGACAGUCAGAAACAGACGUUUCUGCGUGGCACUCGCCAUUGCUCGUGCCCCAGAUGUUUAAAGGAAAUUAA
rnacentral:lncRNA from 1 species